UACGUAGGUGGCAAGCGUUAUCCGGAUUUAUUGGGUGUAAAGGGCGUGUAGGCGGGAGCGCAAAUCAGAUGUGAAAACUCAGGGCUCAACCCUGAGCCUGCAUUUGAAACUGUGUUUCUUGAGUGCUGGAGAGGCAAUCGGAAUUCCGUGUGUAGCGGUGAAAUGCGUAGAUAUACGGAGGAACACCAGUGGCGAAGGCGGAUUGCUGGACAGUAACUGACGCUGAGGCGCGAAAGCGUGGGGAGCAAACAGG
rnacentral:rRNA from 1 species